ACCAUAGAGUUCGGCGAGGCGUACUAGAAGGGCCACCAAUUGCACCUUCCCGGGCGGUUUAGGCUUAAGGUUAGCCAGCCUGGGGCUAUGGGAGCUGCAGGUGGAUAUACAACCUUGGGUCUGGUGUAGCGCUCCUAAGUUAAAAGAGACUUUUAAGUUAAACAAACGUCCAAGAUACCUUCCUUUCACUAGAAUAUCAGCCGAUUAACAAAAAUGGUCCCAAAGCUCCGUGACAGUGGACACAUUUUUUUAGGGCUACAGAUAGGCGUCUUAAUCACUUUCUUCCCGCUCUUUUGCUCUAGGGUGUCCUUUUUCUCCUGAAAAUUCAUAUUCUGCCAGGUCCUUUAAAAAGCCAGCAUCGUUCCAACUCUCAUCUGAAGCUCCGGCUGCCCUGGCUGCCAGUUUAGCAUCUGUCUCUGACCCUUCGGCUUCCUCGAAGGAGGGGGCAGACAGCGAUGCAAAUGUCUUGCAAUGACAUUGCUACUGCAGAAAAUACUUAUGGACUGAGAGGAUCGAUAGAGAGGUGGGAAGAAUGGAAGAGCCAGAGGAUGGGGAUGAGUGAUGUGAAAUGCUGUCUUUGGGACAAGAUCUGUUGACUGCACUCAUGAGCUCUCUGAAGCUGUGACUCCCUGCACAAAUUCAAAUCAUCAUUCCAACAGCUUAGAUCUGGAUUAAAGAUCUGAACUAAAGGUGUGUCUUGCUUCCUCAAAGUUCUGAAUGAGAGGUUACAUGGACUUAGCUGGUAUUUAUAAUCACCUUCUUCUACUACCCAUUGUGUAUAUCCCCCACCUCAAGCAAGGACUUCAGCAGGGUUUUGGCUUUUUGCCUGGAGAAGUGACUCAUAUUUUCAUUCCUGAAACCUGCCGGAGGCUCCGGACAGCAUCUUUAUCUGCCGUUGAUACCUCACGUACCUAAGUGGCGACUCAGAUCUGGAAAGUUAAUAUGUUCUUGAGGCAAAACUGUAAAGGUAUUCUGCUGGCCUUGCCAACCGAAAGCAAAUUGUUCCUUGUGGUCUUUUAAGUAGAUGUAGAGAAAAGGGCAUCGGUUAGAUCAGUAGCUGCAGACAAGGUACCAGGAGAUGUGUUAAUUUGCUACACCACAUCCGGUACCGCAGCUGCAAUCAGAGUCCCUAUUGGACUGACUCUUUCCUAGUCAACCCAUAGUCUCCAUGAUCCAUCUGUCUUCUGUACUGGCCAGAUAGAAGGGCUAAAAGGAGAUGUAGUGGGAACCCCCACCCCAGCAUCUUUCUAGUCCUUGACGGUGGCACUAAUUUCUGGAAUUCCUCCAGGAAUGCAAUACUACUGGUUUAGGGUUAGUAUUUUCCCUGGCAGAGGCACUCUAAAGGCUUCCAAAUGGAAUAAUAGCCCACACCCACAUGUGAGGGAACCAGUGUGAGAAUUCUGCCAACUUUUAAGUCUAUCUAUCCCAGUUAUACAUUCUGGCACUAACUUGUGGAAAUAACCACAGAAUGAGUUCAAGAACCCAUUUGGACCUACUGUGAGUGAGAUUUCAGCCAAAACUCUAUUAAUCACCCGACCUCCAUAAACCCCUACUUUAUCUGGAGGGUCACAAUAUGUCUUGGGAUCUCCCAGAAUUCGUGUUAAUUAAGAACUGGUAUCCAAUAGACAUCAGAAAUUCUGAUUGUUUACUUUCCCCAGUAUAUAUAAAGUUACUCUUUAGCCAGGGCCUGAAGUUCCUAUGAGUCAUGCCACCAUAAAAUUCACUUUGCCUAGUCUCCAGACCGAAAGGGCAACAACAAAGCUGUCCAAAUGUGCUGGUGCCCCUGUCACCCUUUUGUGUCCUGUAGGGUUAGUGAGGGACAUGUCUUCUUGGCCUUCCCAUUGCGGAGGAUUAGGUUUUUACACAGCAUACGCACUCUGGCAUUGCAGUUUCCCCGAGCCUUAAAAAUCCCCUCAUCAGUAAUAACCACAGGGUACCAGGCGUCUCCAGCUCCUUUUCAGUAGGCUGUCUUUUGAGAAGUGCUUCAGCCAACCAUUCAAACAAACUUUUGACACAUUUUUUUUAAUUGUGGGGGAUUCCAUAUUAAACCUAGAGUCUCCAAUCAGAGGUCCCAUAUCAUUAACUCAGCCUGAUCUAGUUUUCUGUUUCUUCCACCAUUAUUUUACACCCUUAAACUCCAUUCCCCCACGUACUUGCCAGACUUCUGCUUGAAUGAGGUACUCAUUAAGCUCCUUACUAAUGUAGUGCACCUCCUUACUUACCAUACUUUCUACCUCCCCUCCAGGAGCCUGCUCUGCCUUGAGUCUGGUUAUAGGUCUAGGUGCAACUACUGAUGGGCUCUGAGGGACAUCAGGAUUGUCUUGCCCAGUGUUUCCUUCAGAGAAAAUCACUUCCAGUUUAGCGGACAAUGAAGGACUGAUUAAUUUCCUCAAAGAUGAAAAAGGCAAUAUUUCAAGGGAUGGAGCUGAUAGAAGAGAUACUACUCCCUCCAGUCAUAUAAACCCUUGAGAAUUGGAGGGCUCAAAGUUCUCAGCUUCAAUAGAGUCCUCCCACACAUACCUAUCUGUCCUGGCUGGUUUUGUGUGUCAACUUGACACAAGCUGGAGUUAUCACAGAGAAAGGAGCCUCCCUUGAGGAAAUGCCUCCAUGAGAUCCAGCUGUAAGGCAUUGUCUCAGCUAGUGUUCAAGGGUGGGAGGGCCCAUUGUGGGUGGUGCCAACCCUGGGCUCAUAGUCCUGGGUUCUAUAAAAAAAAACAAAUUGUGCAAGCCAGUAACAUCCCUCCUUGGCCUCUGCAUCAGCUCCUGCUUCCUGACCUGCUUGAGUUCCAGUCCUGACUUCCUUUGGUGAUGAACAGCAAUGUAGAAGUGUAAGCUGAAUAAACUCUUUCCUCUC
rnacentral:lncRNA from 1 species